rnacentral:rRNA from 1 species
UAGCUCUUUCUUGAUUCAGUGGAUGGUAAUGCAUGGCCGUUCUUAGUUGGUGGAGCGAUUUGUCUGGUUAAUUCCGAUAACGAACGAGACUCCGGCCUACUAACUAGAACGUAGAUUUUUUGUCUACGAGACUUCUUAGAGGGACUCGGGGCGUCUAGCCACACGAAAUGGAGCGAUAACAGGUCUGUAAUGCCCUUAGAUGUCCGGGGCCGCACGCGCGCUACACUGAAGGAAGCAACAAGCUAUACCCUGGUUCGAAAGGACUGGGUAACCUUGUGAAACUCCUUCGUGAUUGGGAUAGGGACUUGCAAUUAUUUCCCUUGAACGAGGAAUUCCUAGUAAGUGUGGGUCAUCAUCUCGCGUUGAUUACGUCCCUGCCCUUUGCCCCCACCGCCCGUCGCUACUACCGAUUGAAUGAAAUACUGAAAUUGACGGAUUGGUCUUUUGGUGGCUUCGCGGCUGCCAUUGUGACUGAGAAAUCACUUAAAGUGUUUCAUUUAGAGGAAGUAAAAGUCGUAACAAGGUUUCCGUAGGUGAACCUGCAGAAGGAUCA